rnacentral:lncRNA from 1 species
GGCGGUUUGAGACCAGCCUGGGCAAUAUAGCAACCGUCCUGCUGGCACACAAACCCUCCUGCCUCUAAACAGAAUUUGAUGGGCCCCUUGGCAAAGGCAGGUUUUAGAAACUCCUCGGGGGCUGGAGCGCAAGGAGAGUCUGAGCCAGGCCAAGCCUCCCUGGGGGAACAUGGCUGAAGGAAGACCUACAGACAUCUCCCCUGGGUGGGAGCCUGUGUUCAGAAGCAGCAGAUCCAAGUCUCUGUGUGGCUGAGGAGAGGACAUCCUGCUGGCAACACGGAGAAUGCCAUAUAACAGCUAAGACAGAGAUCAGAGCCAUGCAGCUGCAAGCCGAAGCAGGCCAAGGAUUGCCAGCAAACCAAGAGAGGCUGGAAGAAGAGAGAAGGAUCUUUCCCUGCUGAUUUCACAGGGAGCAUGGCCCUUGAUCUCAGGACCUUGACCCCAGAACUGUGUCUGGCUGCCAAUACCAAGUUCCUCCUCUCCAUCUCACAUUCAAAGAGCACACAGAGAGGCUCUAAUUGGGUCUUUCUACAUCCUGUGUCCGUACAGAGCUCUCGCGUUUGGGUGGGGACUUUGCACCGUGACCAGUCUAAGAUCAGCACCAGCCCCUGGUCCAAUCAGCUGUGGCCAAGACCCUUGAAGACACAGGCAA